CUUACCUGUAAAACACAAGGGGAAAAGAAACGUGUGACUAAUAAUGUAUGAGUUGGUGGUGGCAUUAUAGAUUAAUUAGCAUGUGGUUCCCACAGUCCACUAAGUGGAUGAAAACAUAUCCAUCUUUUGGUGUAUAAUUCAUCAUUCUGUUGGAUAGUGAAAGACAAAAGGGAUUAACUAGAUUAUUAGUGGACAAAUCCAUGAAUUUCCACGUGGCACGUUUAUGCAAGGGGAAGAAAUGACUCUUUUAUAUACAAUUUAGUGGCUGUGUGUUGCAAUUAUAUUAAAUGCUAAAUUGGCCCACUUUCCAUUUAUAUAGAGUAAAAGAAAGGGAGGAGAAGAUAAUUAUCCCAUUACUUUAUUCGUGUAAGACAAUUAUGUGUCUAAGUUUCCCUACACGUGAUUGUCCACUAAUUGAAUGAUGAACAUGUUUCUUUACACUAAAUUGGACGAUAUAUAUAUCUUCUACAUAGUAGGAAAAAAACAAAAAAAUUUCUCAAUCUUUCCCAAGUUAUAUAAAACGAUUAGAUAUGCACUUUUCUGUUCCUCCACGGAUAUAACAUUCUGAUCAAAGGUAGCUCACUCAAUUGAGCAACUCUUUUCCAAUACGACUUGGAUUUCAUUCCGCUUGUCCAAGAGCUUCAUAGACCGGCGAGCUCGAGAAGUAGACGUUGGACAUUAGAUAGAGUUCAAGGUAAACAGGGAGGUGAGCUUGAUCCAGAUUCUUAGUAGUUGUCAGCUGAUUGAGAGCACUCCAUUGUUCGGAGGUGCUUAUGUUUAUUCUUUUGGUUCCUUUAUGUAUUUCGCGCACGACGGAGUCCUGUUCCGUCUAUAUGUAUAAUAUGUCAGUAGAGGCUCGUAGACACGCAGUGCGGGUUAGAUGGUCUCACAAGAUUACUAUAUUAUAUUUGUAUAUGUUAUUUUGAUGGCCUAAGGGGCACAUGCAUAUAAAAUCAUUUGUGUUGUCAAAUGAAAAAUGGUUGUCUUAUGAUUAUGAGGUUAUGAAUGAUAAAGAAAUGUAAAAUGGUUAUGACAAGUGAGGAAACGAGCGGUGCUCGGUGGUUAGCCCCGGGUACCCGUCGCGGCCCUAGUCGGGUCGUGACAGAAGUGGUAUACAAAUGAGUAGAGGAUAUGGCCAGAAGACGUUCCAGCGGGAUUGGCGAGCUCCAUUUCUUUCCGGAGUGUUGCCGAGUCAGAGUAUCCAUGUCAUUGUAUAAUGAUUUAUGUUAGAGACUUUGCAGACAGAGUCACGUAUAUAGUAUGUCAUUCUUGUA